ACAAGAUCUCCCGAGCAAGACAUGUAACCCACAAAAUGUAGCCAGUUUCCAGGGCUGCUCACAGCUUUGCUUCUUGUGAGAUUUAACGAAGAUGAUGGUCUUAAAAUGGUUUUACCACAAGAAACUCUCUCACAUGGAUUAUACCUAUGGUCUUCCCCUGAGGCCUCACACUGCCAUUCUGAGGAGUAAAUGAUAAAUCCAGAGGGUUUACCACAGAUCAUGGGGAGACAAUACAGCUUUGGACACUUGGAGAGGGAUCAAAGACCUGCAAUCAAAAAGUUGUGUCUUUAAGUCUUUUUAUUUAGGUGCAAUGGCCAAUGUUUUGAUAUGAUGUACAUCUUCUUGAAAAUGAAAUGAUUAUUGAGUAUAUAUUUAUUGAAUUAAAGAAACAGUGGUCU